rnacentral:rRNA from 1 species
AUGAACGCUGGCGGCGUGCCUAAUACAUGCAAGUCGAGCGAACGGACGAGAAGCUUGCUUCUCUGAUGUUAGCGGCGGACGGGUGAGUAACACGUGGAUAACCUACCUAUAAGACUGGGAUAACUUCGGGAAACCGUAGCUAAUACCGGAUAAUAUUUUGAACCGCAUGGUUCAAAAGUGAAAGACGGUCUUGCUGUCACUUAUAGAUGGAUCCGCGCUGCAUUAGCUAGUUGGUAAGGUAACGGCUUACCAAGGCAACGAUGCAUAGCCGACCCGAGAGGGUGAUCGGCCACACUGGAACUGAGACACGGUCCAGACUCCUACGGGAGGCAGCAGUAGGGAAUCUUCCGCAAUGGGCGAAAGCCUGACGGAGCAACGCCGCGUGAGUGAUGAAGGUCUUCGGAUCGUAAAACUCUGUUAUUAGGGAAGAACAUAUGUGUAAGUAACUGUGCACAUCUUGACGGUACCCAAUCAGAAAGCCACGGCUAACUACGUG